UAUUCUACCUUGUCUGUGGACAUUGUUAUUUGCAAAGCUGGUGCUGGAUAAACAAAUAGGCUAGUGCGUGCGACAGAGGAAAAGUUCUUUGGUGUUGCUUUAACAUCAUUCUCGUGGACACGUCCCCCAGUGUAAUCCCUGUUCUCAAAACUGUGGGAUUUAUCCAAUAACGGAAGGCCAUCAUGCACGACGCCAACACUCUGACUGUGUGAGGUGCCGGCGCGAGCAUAAACGGAGAGACGAGACCCAUCGUUGAAAGUCCAUCAUCAAGUGAUCUAACACUAUUUUGGAAUCUAGGGCUUGGUCCCUUGAGUGAGCGCCAAACAAAACAUCGUCUAAGUAAGAGAGAAUUCUAAUGCCCUUGUUCCUUAACGGGGCUAGUGCUGCCUCUACACAUUUGCUGAAUGAGCGGGGGGCUAAUGCUAAUCCAAAUGGAAUAGUAAGGAACUCGUAGGCUUUGCCCUCGAAGGCGAACGUGUCUAUUGUCACAAACUAAUUGUGGGGGAGGAUUGAUUGACAUAAUACUUUGUGUGAAACCUGAACGUGCAUUUGCAUAGGUGCUUGUUUAACUCACAGAGCAAAACACGAGUUGAAUCCCCUUUGGCCACUGAAACUAAUACUCUGUGGAACCUGGGAGAUUUCACGACAAAUUGUAGCCUGUCACGAGAAACCAUGGCUAAAACCCAUGGAUGAGUUGUGUGUAUGCGCCACUGUGCCACUCUGACCGAGAACGAGCCUCUUGUGUGGCAUGUUAUUGAUGUCACACCCUCUUGUUUUCUGACGGAGCUUGUCUCUCUCAUUUUUUCCAGCGCAGGCUGUAGUUGUAGCCAACAGCUCGUCAGCCCCUGUACUGUGCUAGCGACUUUCAUACUGGAUGCGUACUACUACUGCCUUGCCUGUGUUGUAGCCAACGACUCGUCAGCCCCCUGUACUAUUCUAGCGACUCCCAUACUGGAUGUGCAUUAUUGCACCUUGCCCGUGUUGUACCCAACCCCCCCCCCCCCCCCCCCAAGCGGUCCUACUAAGCCUCUAUCAUUGUGUCAGUGUGUGUGCAUUAUAGCCUGAUGCCCCCAGCUCUCCACCCUAAGUGCAACUAACCCCACCAUCCAGCUUGCCUUCCCCCUGGUGUGUACCCAACUGACUAGCGCACCCCAGCGCCACCAUUGCCGCCUGCCUGCCACUGUCUCGAGUCAACCGCCUACCGGUGCAGAUUGUAGUGAACCCCCACUUGACCUUUGGUGUGUUGUGUAUUUUUCGAAGCGUGUCCCACGUUGCAGUCUAAUCCCCCAGGCCUCGUUGACAGGGCUGUGACAGACUGAGUGGCCUGCUGAAGCGCCUGGGAGCGAGCUGGGAACCCCUUAUUGCCAGUUCUGCAGGGGGACUUUGUCCAGACGGGUAGUGGCACCCUGAGUGGGGGAGUGUGGGGGAACCUCCAAGCAAAGCCAGGCCCAGAGACACACCUUGGCGAAGGACGACUGCUCUGCUUUUAGAGACUCUAAAUCGUUGAACUUUAAUAAAUUCCUUGUUUUAAACUAUUCUUAGGGCCUCUGAAUCUUAUUGGUGGGUGUGGUCUGCUCCUCAGGGUAGUAGGUUGUGGCGGUCGCUCAAUAGCGCCCCCGCCUUGGUCACAGAAACUCUGAACAAAGUAAAAAAAGAAUGUUAGGUUACUUAACGUAACCCUGGUUCUUUGAUAACAGAGUGAGGUGUUUCACCAACACUUCCCUCCUUGCAAUAAGACGGGAAGAAACCAUUCUGAAUACCUGAACAGUAAUAUAAGGCAGAGGAGUGGAGCCCUGUCGCAGGUCGACCUGUCUGUCACUGAUAGACGUGAUGUCAUUGGAGCUUCCAUAGAUGGUCACCCCUGAAGCGAUUCCCAUAGUGAACACCUAACGAAGUAAGAAAAACAACUACGUUUAUCCAUGUAGGCUAUCUGGCACAAGUUUGGUGGCUACAGUAUUUGCUCUCCAGUCUCCAGUGUUUCAUAGUAUGGUGGUAGAUGGCUCUUAGUUUGCGGUGGCAGCAUCCUCAUCCAGCAUGAGUGCAUUGUUGCAUUUGUGAUUUUGUAAGUUUAUAUUCUGUCAUGUUUAUUUCUGAACUGUAGUAUUUGUGAAUUAUCUUUUACAAGUUUUAUUUGUGAGUGUUAUUUGUGUGCUCUGUUUGGAGCUUUAGUGUGAACGCCAUGUGCUCCCAGCAUUGUUCUUUGUUUGACUGUUCACAUUCAAGGUCAUCUAUAGGAGCAAUGUGGAUUUAUUUAGGUUAUUGAUAUGGUGAAUACUUGUUUAUCCCUAGUGUUUCUUUUAAUAAUGUUAUUGCAUAUGAAUGUAUUUCCUCUGAUUUGAAUUUGCUUAAACUAAGAUUGCCUUGUUAGUUUGUAAACACCAGCAACAUCACUAAUGAAACCAGUCUGGAAAAUAAAGUCAAAGUUAACUGGAAAACUGGAUUCCUGUGUUUAAUUGACACAUCAUUCUGGCAGCACCAAUCCAAACCAGCCAAUACUCCUCAAUAUUUUACACAUACAACAUUUCAUGUCAAGCAAAAAAACUAGCAAAAAUCUAACAAAAAAAAACGAAAAAAGACAAAGGUACAAGACUGUGUACAUAGCCUAUUUUAAUUUCCGAGUGAAGGAACUACUCAUCCCAUAAGCCUUUUUGAACCAACAUAUUUCGAACAUGGCAGCCUAACAAUAGUUUAACAUGCUUCUUUAAAGCGUAACUCUCGCCAAAAUGUAACCUAGGGUCUUUUUGUAAAUGUACACAAUAUAAUGCACUGUAACUCUGAGGUAUAUGGUUACCCAGUGAUGUCCCGGUGCACGUUGUAAAGUUGUCGCUUUUGUAGUCCUCUCCUUUUCAUACAUCUCGUGUUUUCUUCUUGUGAUGGUGCGUCUACCGCACCACCACCACCGACGGCGUGUCUGUGCUUUACCAACCAGCUAAAACUGACAACACCCUCUAUGCUACUGCCUUGCUUGAAGAACACAUCAAAAUUGAAUUCUUGAUUGAUACUGGUGCUGAACUUAAAGUCUUUUCAUCUGACCUAUUGAAGAAACACGAAAUACCUCUGUCAGGCAUCAUCAAUACAGCUGGUGGACCAACUGGAGAAAAAUUCAGUCUGAAGCAGACAGCCCCAGUCACCAUAGCCAUUGGAGAAGGAGAUGGAGAAGUCUUGUGGAACCUGAGAAGGCUAACAAGAGAGGAUCUCCUGGAACAUCCUGCAUGGGCUAAGGGAAGGAAUGACUGUGGACUGUUGUAAAUGGAACCUGUCAGACUGACUGGAAAACCACCUCCGUGUGUGAAACAAUGUCCCAUCAAGAACGGACAGAUUGUGGCACAAUUGUUGGAUGCAAUGCAGCUGCCAAAGGAACUGGCAGUGAUCAAAGUAAAGGCACAUACAAGGCAAGACACCAUUGAAGCAAGAGGCAAUGCAAUGGCGGAUGCGGUGUCAAGAACAGCCGCAAGAAAGAGAGGGAGGAGAUAAUGAAACGACUAAUGAGAAUGGACACGAGAAUGGAAACACGGACGGAUCUAACGGUAACAGGAACAUUUUUGAAAAUGACAACGAGAAAUGCAUGAUGAGAGUGACAAAGAAGCCGAGAAGAAAAAUGGAUUUGGAUCGAAAAUGCGGCAAAGCUCCAUGAUGACAACUUGUGGAGGUUUGGAACACGAACAGUGGCUCCAGAAAGUCUACCAUAUCGGACGGCGCAAAUUCAUUCGCUUGGACACAUGGGAGUGGAGAAGAUGAGGAACAGAUUCAUACAGGUCUGGUGGUCAUCGAAGUUCACAGCAAUGGCCAAAGACAUCGUCAAGCGGUGUGUCACCUGUCGGCAAAACAAUCACGACAAGAAGGUUAAGUUGCCAAUGCUGAAGACACCAGCUCCACCAGGACCAUUCAGAGUUCUCCAGAUAGAUUACAUCACUCUUCCCAAGUGUAAAGGCUACCGAGAUGUUCUGGUUGUCCUGUGCAAGUUCUCCAGGUGGAUUGAGGCAUUCCCUGCACAAUCUGGAAUUGCACUACACACUGCCAAAGUCCUUGUGAAAGACAUCAUUCCCCGAUGUGGAUUGCCAUAACAUAGUCGGCAGUGAAGGUCCAGGUUUAGAGAAAAGUGGAUACAUGCAAGCCAUUUGCAAACUAAUAGAACCGCCUGAAACAUGACGCGCUUGGGUAGGGUACGAAUUCUAUCUGAGUUUCCGCCGAUCUUCUUUUAGGGGUGAGGUGUGAACUAGAGGGGGGAAGAUUCACGGGAGACUUUCAUUUUGACAGGGAAUUUAUGACGUCAGGAGAAAUGAAAGGUUAGGGAUCCGAGAGUAGAAUCUUUCUUUGAGAACCCGAGCAUGCUCAGAGUGUUGAGGUAGUGGACUCUUCUUGACA